UUAAGCGACUAAGCGUACACGGUGGAUGCCCUGGCAGUCAGAGGCGAUGAAGGACGUGCUAAUCUGCGAAAAGCGUCGGUAAGGUGAUAUGAACCGUUAUAACCGGCGAUGUCCGAAUGGGGAAACCCAGUGUGAUUCGUCACACUAUCGUUAACUGAAUACAUAGGUUAACGAGGCGAACCGGGGGAACUGAAACAUCUAAGUACCCCGAGGAAAAGAAAUCAACCGAGAUUCCCCCAGUAGCGGCGAGCGAACGGGGAGCAGCCCAGAGUCUGAAUCAGCUUGUGUGUUAGUGGAACGGUCUGGAAAGUCCGACGGUACAGGGUGAUAGUCCCGUACACCAAAAUGCACAGGCUGUGAACUCGAAGAGUAGGGCGGGACACGUGGUAUCCUGUCUGAAUAUGGGGGGACCAUCCUCCAAGGCUAAAUACUCCUGACUGACCGAUAGUGAACCAGUACCGUGAGGGAAAGGCGAAAAGAACCCCGGCGAGGGGAGUGAAAAAGAACCUGAAACCGUGUACGUACAAGCAGUGGGAGCACCUUCGGGUGUGACUGCGUACCUUUUGUAUAAUGGGUCAGCGACUUAUAUUCUGUAGCAAGGUUAACCGUAUAGGGGAGCCGCAGGGAAACCGAGUCUUAACUGGGCGUUAAGUUGCAGGGUAUAGACCCGAAACCCGGUGAUCUAGCCAUGGGCAGGUUGAAGGUUGGGUAACACUAACUGGAGGACCGAACCGACUAAUGUUGAAAAAUUAGCGGAUGACUUGUGGCUGGGGGUGAAAGGCCAAUCAAACCGGGAGAUAGCUGGUUCUCCCCGAAAGCUAUUUAGGUAGCGCCUCGUGAACUCAUCUUCGGGGGUAGAGCACUGUUUCGGCUAGGGGUCAUCCCGACUUACCAACCCGAUGCAAACUACGAAUACCGAAGAAUGUUAUCACGGGAGACACACGGCGGGUGCUAACGUCCGUCGUGAAGAGGGAAACAACCCAGACCGCCAGCUAAGGUCCCAAAGUCAUGGUUAAGUGGGAAACGAUGUGGGAAGGCACAGACAGCCAGGAUGUUGGCUUAGAAGCAGCCAUCAUUUAAAGAAAGCGUAAUAGCUCACUGGUCGAGUCGGCCUGCGCGGAAGAUGUAACGGGGCUAAACCAUGCACCGAAGCUGCGGCAGCGACACUAUGUGUUGUUGGGUAGGGGAGCGUUCUGUAAGCCUGCGAAGGUGUGCUGUGAGGCAUGCUGGAGGUAUCAGAAGUGCGAAUGCUGACAUAAGUAACGAUAAAGCGGGUGAAAAGCCCGCUCGCCGGAAGACCAAGGGUUCCUGUCCAACGUUAAUCGGGGCAGGGUGAGUCGACCCCUAAGGCGAGGCCGAAAGGCGUAGUCGAUGGGAAACAGGUUAAUAUUCCUGUACUUGGUGUUACUGCGAAGGGGGGACGGAGAAGGCUAUGUUAGCCGGGCGACGGUUGUCCCGGUUUAAGCAUGUAGGCUGAUUGUCCAGGCAAAUCCGGAUAAUCAAGGCUGAGGUGUGAUGACGAGGCACUACGGUGCUGAAGUAACAAAUGCCCUGCUUCCAGGAAAAGCCUCUAAGCAUCAGGUAACAUCAAAUCGUACCCCAAACCGACACAGGUGGUCAGGUAGAGAAUACCAAGGCGCUUGAGAGAACUCGGGUGAAGGAACUAGGCAAAAUGGUGCCGUAACUUCGGGAGAAGGCACGCUGGUGUGUAGGUGAAGUCCCUGCGGAUGGAGCUGAGACCAGUCGAAGAUACCAGCUGGCUGCAACUGUUUAUUAAAAACACAGCACUGUGCAAACACGAAAGUGGACGUAUACGGUGUGACGCCUGCCCGGUGCCGGAAGGUUAAUUGAUGGGGUUAUCCGUAAGGAGAAGCUCUUGAUCGAAGCCCCGGUAAACGGCGGCCGUAACUAUAACGGUCCUAAGGUAGCGAAAUUCCUUGUCGGGUAAGUUCCGACCUGCACGAAUGGCGUAAUGAUGGCCAGGCUGUCUCCACCCGAGACUCAGUGAAAUUGAACUCGCUGUGAAGAUGCAGUGUACCCGCGGCAAGACGGAAAGACCCCGUGAACCUUUACUAUAGCUUGACACUGAACAUUGAGCCUUGAUGUGUAGGAUAGGUGGGAGGCUUUGAAGCGUGGACGCCAGUCUGCGUGGAGCCAACCUUGAAAUACCACCCUUUAAUGUUUGAUGUUCUAACGUUGGCCCCUGACCGGGGUUGCGGACAGUGUCUGGUGGGUAGUUUGACUGGGGCGGUCUCCUCCCAAAGCGUAACGGAGGAGCACGAAGGUUAGCUAAUCCUGGUCGGACAUCAGGAGGUUAGUGCAAUGGCAUAAGCUAGCUUGACUGCGAGCGUGACGGCGCGAGCAGGUGCGAAAGCAGGUCAUAGUGAUCCGGUGGUUCUGAAUGGAAGGGCCAUCGCUCAACGGAUAAAAGGUACUCCGGGGAUAACAGGCUGAUACCGCCCAAGAGUUCAUAUCGACGGCGGUGUUUGGCACCUCGAUGUCGGCUCAUCACAUCCUGGGGCUGAAGUAGGUCCCAAGGGUAUGGCUGUUCGCCAUUUAAAGUGGUACGCGAGCUGGGUUUAGAACGUCGUGAGACAGUUCGGUCCCUAUCUGCCGUGGGCGCUGGAGAAUUGAGGGGGGCUGCUCCUAGUACGAGAGGACCGGAGUGGACGCAUCACUGGUGUUCGGGUUGUCAUGCCAAUGGCACUGCCCGGUAGCUAAAUGCGGAAGAGAUAAGUGCUGAAAGCAUCUAAGCACGAAACUUGCCCCGAGAUGAGUUCUCCCUGAGACUUUAAGUCUCCUGAAGGAACGUUAAAGACGAUGACGUUGAUAGGCCGGGUGUGUAAGCGCAGCGAUGCGUUGAGCUAACCGGUACUAAUGAACCGUGAGGCUUAACCUU
rnacentral:rRNA from 1 species